UUAGGUUUUUUCUUGAUCUAAAAAUUUAGAAUCUCUCUACCGUCAAUUUUUUUCUCUUCUUAGCUCUGUGUCGAUGAAACUGAGAAACAUGACAUGAAUCGAAAUUGAGAAACAACAAUCUUGUGGGUCUCUUCGUUUUCUUCACUAAGAGAAGGCUGCUUUGGUGCAAGGGUUCGUUUUUGCUGUGACCUGUGAGCGUAUGUGCUGUGAGCCUGUGAGCCCGUGAGCGUCCUAAAUCCUAUUACUUCAAGUCUUCAAGUGAGUUUCUUUGUUUCGUUUUGAUAACAAGAAGAUGAAGAAAGGGGUUGGUUUGAGAUUAGAGGAGGAUGAUGAAGUUGGUUUCUAUCUUGUUUUUCUAUGGUUCAGUUUUUUUACAAAGUAAACUUUAUGUAUUUUUAGGUUCUCUAUGGUGUAGUCUUUCACUUUCUAAGUUUCAGAUUUUAUUUUUAACAAAAAAAAAAGUUUCAGAUUUUAUGUACUUGCAGAUUUUA